GGACGAACGCCCUGACAGGUGGGCCCCACCUGUCAGUGGCAGCGGGCGCGCGCGCGCUAGCGCUGGGCCGGCUCGGUCGGGCUGGCUCGGUCGGCCGAGGUAAGCUGGCCGGUUCGGCCCAAAAUGGCCGGGCCGGUCCGGUUUUCUCCCUUUUUUUUCUUUUAGCCUUUUCUUUUUCUCCUUUUCUCAAUUCUUUGAUAUCUUUUGAUUUUGAACUCCAAAAUGGCCCAAAUAAAUUCCAGAAAUUUCUUCAAAUCAUGUUUUAUCAUGAUUCAACUUUGGGAGUAAUUUCCCCUCAACAUAAAAUAUAUAAAAAUACAUUUGCCCUAUAAAUGCCUUUAGGGCUAUAUAACUAUUUAAAUAAAAUAGUUUUUCAGCUCCAAAAAUUAUCCAAAAAUUAUGCGAUAGCUUAUAUAUGCAAUAAACCCUUUUUAUAAAUAAACCUUAUUGGUUUGA
rnacentral:lncRNA from 1 species